UUUACUAAGAAGAUCCUGCGCCAUAAUAUAUCGCGUUCUUUACGUUCCCGUUUUCUAGAUACUUUCUGCGAUACUCCAAUUUGCUGCUAUGGCGGUUUCAUUUCCUUGCCAAAAGAACGUAACUUGGAGUGAUAUCUUUUAUAACUGCUGAUAUACUGUAUUCUAUUGGAAGCAUUCUGUUCUAUUCUAUUGGAAGCUAUUGGAAGCAUUACGAAGACCUUGGAAGUUGGAAGUAUUAUUGUGAUGCAUGUUUAUACGACACAUUCGUGGAAAACCUAGUGCUUCGCAAAAGACGGGAGAGCCCAUUCUUCCGGCAAUGUUCGAGUGUAACGGCAUCGCACGAAACCACGAUGCUGUUGUGAGGAGAGAAGCGGCUCAUGGACAGCGUCAAAGUCUUUCAAGGAUCCUCAACACUUUGCGCCGUGGUGCAGUGGUGCAGCCUACGCGGAUCUUACAACGUAGCCGGGGUUAGAUUCCCCCAUCAGUGCAUUUUUCGGCCGUUUCUCGGUUUCCUUCGGAUGGCGCCCUGCUGAGACUGUUAUGCCACCAGACACCAGCUCGUCACCUGCCAACCUACGUCAUCAACAUUGGCGAUUAUAAAAGCGCCCGACGGCCGCUGAACCUCUAUAGUGUCAACUUCAAGGAACACGGGUUUAUGGGAUACCUGCUACCGUGAUGACAGCAUGUAACUGAAGAACCGGAUCUUGGAACAGUGUAGAAAUCAGACGAUCUGGCUCCCAUCAAUCGCUGGUUCGGCAAGACGCCCAGUACUCUUGCUUCUGCAGCAAUGCUCAAUGUUGCAGGAGCAUCCUGGCUGGGAAUAACCGCCGCUGGAAGUGCAGCGCUUAAUUCCGUGUUUAGCCAAUCGGAUGGAUGCCGCGUUCAUGGAAGGGAAAGCGAGGAAGGAAUAAUGGGUAAAAUAUUACGUUCUUCGCUGCGACGCUGCCGUCCACGGCCAGUUACUCCAUGUUGUGGUUUUCGAACCGGCUGUAACUUGUACUCCCUCCGGUUGCAAAUUCGGGCACAACUUUUGGAUCAGCGUCCGGUGCUGGGGCUCCAGCGGUGGCGUUGUGGCGCUAAACAAUAAGAUGCUCAACGUUACGGAAAUGAUAAUCGUAUUUUGCAAUACGAACCUCAAAUUCGAUUAUGAUUCCGUAACGUUCCCGGAUUAUCCACCUACACAUCAGGAAAAAUAAGUCCGCUCUUUCCCCCUUUUCGGUGGAAUAAUCGGCUAAUACUACGUCCGGCCGCACUUUGGCUUUUCUUCUACGGUCUGCGCUGUCGUCCACGGCUAAUUCUGCACGUUGAUUCCUACGUGGUUUUCCAACUUGUUGUAACUCCCACUGCCUCCAGAAGUACGAACUUCAAAUGUGAUGAUGAUCCCGUAGCGUUCCCGAAUUACCCACGCAAAAAUUUGGAAAAGCAAAUCCGAUCUUUCCUCCUUUUUAGUGGUAAGGAGAAUUAGAAAAAGGAUUACGAUUAGUAGUACAUAAUGUAUGUUAUACGGGUACUUCCAUUUUAGUGUCAAUGAUAAGCACUCUCACAAACGAAAAAAAGGUGACUGUCUCUAUAUUUACAAUUGUAUAUUUUAUGCGUUUUACCGGUGUCGUCACAAACCUUGCAUUUCGGAGCGUUUUACUAAGAUUUUGAACUAACGAAACGUAAAUAUAGUGAGCGUUUAUACUCAUGUGCUUCCAAUUGCCGAAAAACCUAAAAACAUACAUUGUUCAGUUUCGGAAAUAUUUAAUUUUUGCGUUAAGGAACGUGUUCCGGUACAUGCAGAUAAAGAUUUGCAAUCACACUAAUCAAAAUACUUCUUUGCGUUGUACUACAAGUUUUGCUUCUUUUCUUCGAAAAGGCGCAUGUCAUUUGAUUUGCUGGCUUUUGCGCAGUCCUCAACUCUUUAUUCCAUUGCUUUAUGACGUUCUGCAGCCAAAUGAUUUCAGAUAUGGACGAGUACGUACGCGUUUAAUUUUCCAGAACAUGUUUCUGGACUUGCAUUCGCAGUAUAUUUUUUUUAUAUUUGUAAGCAUAAGAAAACAUAAGAAGCUUCGGAAUCCAAAGAAAACUGGCGGGAUUCUGUGGAAUACGUGAUGCACAAAGAACGGCCAUAUUAACAAUAUUCCCAAUCCGUACAGAACACUAAAAUAAUGCUGUUUGUAUGCUCCUUACCUUUGAAAACUGAAGUACCCACCGUAUACCAUGGUGCACUCUACCGUCUCUUAACUUACAUGUGUUCUACUUGAAUGCAGUAAGCAUAUUAUCCAAAAAGUUCGUAACAGCAGCAUCCUAAUAACGCAUCUUCACGUAUCCUUGCUGUAUUCGUCGUGUACUUUCCAAAAAAGUAGAAAAUUUCGUGGCGCCGUAAAAUACACGUAAGUACAUAUGUUAUGUUUUAUAUCUAUACGUAUAUGUUAUGUUAUGUAUAUGUUAUAAUAUAUAUGUUAUGUACGUGUAUAGAUAUAUGUAGUAUAUGUAUACGUAUACGUGUAUAUGUAUAUGUAUACGUAUAUUUUAUGUUAUGUUAUUUUAUGUUUCUGUAUAUCUGUAUUUGUUAUGUUUUUCAAAUCCAAAAUGGGUUUCAAAAAUUUUUAAUAAAUUUUAAAUUUGAAAAAUUGUGGGAGCGGGGGAUCAGUGUAAGAACGUUUUUUGCUGAUGUACAUUUCCAUGCUAAAUGUCAAGAAAUAUCGGUCCUUAAUAAGAGUAUUGAUGCACCAACAGAAAAAUGAAUUUAAACUAUUUGGAAUUUGGAUCAGCCAUAAUUGUCCAGCCGGAUGCUGCUCGCAUUAACGGUUUUCACGUCAGUAUUUGCAAAUCAUCUGGCUGCACAGUGCCAUAAAAUAACGGAAAAAGUGUUUACGAGAGCGCGAAAGGGAACAUUUUCGUGCGGGUACACGAAUUCGGUGUCAUGUGCCGCGUCACUUUCCUUAACAAAGUCGCACAGAACGAGACUUUAUAUUUUACUUCUGUGUGCAUUAGUUUUUUAUGUAAGGGUUCCAGUAAGCGCCUUCUAACAACGGCGUUACGCUAGACAAUCAUCCGGUCUCAGAAUUUGGACAGAAUAGUCAUGGCCGUGCUGCCCAGAGCGUGAAGCCGAAACACGACGACAAUAAAUAUUUUUUCCUUCUUUUCAAGCAGAUACUGUAAGUACAAAUCGUACAGUUAUAUUUUAGCAGCAUCAACGAUCGAGUGGCAUUCUGGAUCGUGAAGAUUGGUACAUAAGCAAUCCUAUACAAAGCAAAAAAUGGAUAUAUAAGCUAGCAUCGCUCAUAAGCAUAAAACGCAUUAGUGCAGCACACUUGGAAUCACCGGGAACGUUCGGGGCUGCGAUUCGUGAAGGUCGAAAAAACAAGACUGUUCGGCAUGUACCGAUCUCUAUCGUGUGUACGUGCCGUAUAACAGUUUCGGCCGUGCGUCGUGCAGACGCACCCGCUACUUAGCAUAUGCUAAUACUACCAAAUGGCGCGUUGAACAUUUUCAUGCGUGCGGCGGCAUCCUUGAUUAGCCGGAAGUCCUAAGGUACAGAGGAUGUCGUUGCAACGCAGAAAAUGUUAGGAAAGCAAUUACAAAUUACGUUAACUCACGAACAAGAGAGCAGAUCGACGAGGACUAAUUCCCGGUGGAUAAUAUCAAACAUGCACGGGAACUGAUUAGCUACCAGCGUCAUAAACUUCAUCGGAUGGAAGCCGGAUUAAUUGGCCGACUAAUGUACGCCAUCUUUUGCACAGAUUUCGUACAGUGGUCGACUAGACUGUGCGGCCGUUGAAGCAGGGAUAACUUACUUUGACAGGACACCACACAGGCGUCCAGGAACACAUCCUACGGAGACCGGGAUGAUCCCGUUUCUCCAUCCUAAUUUCAGCCGUUAGAGAACGAACGCUUUAAAUCUGUGGAGACUGCGACUCCUAAUAGAACACGGACACAUCGUUAACCGUUGACCGCUUUACAAAUCGUUAAGGAACCUCAUUAUCGAAACUGCGGGGCGCUUGGUAACGGAUACUGGGUAGGUCAUUGACUUGUACGUUUCGGCACGGGCCACAGCGAUAUUUAAAUUUCAGUAUUUGGGUAGUCGGUAUUAGCAUAGAAGUACAUGUUUUGGGAUCUUUUUUGCUUUAAUUUUUAUCGGAGAUAAUGUGUGUAGUUCGGUACAUUACAUUUUUAUCACCUCAUAUGACUUAAAUGCAGCUUGAAACGUUGAACGAUAAACCCAGAUCUGACUAAUCCCCAGCAACAUCGGAACGCGAUACUGGCCAUGAGUUUAGUCAGCAUCAAGUAUUAACUAAGCCUUAUUUGAUAUUGAGAACCGACUAUCGUAUCCUACGCAGCUCCAGAUAACGUGUAAAUUCAGUGCAUCGAUUUUCAGUCAGGUUAUCGAAAUCAUCAAGUUCUGGGAACCCGGUCACUUCCUCACGGGUUUUACAAUUUGACACACGCUUGGUUGACAAGAAGUAAUAAAUCUUUUGAUGAGUUACGAGUUAUGUUUAAUGUUCGUUUAUACAGAUGCAAAGGAAGGUACGCAAUUUAGGUGCCAAUCACGCAAAGCCGCCGAAUGCUUGGUUAUGUACAGAUACAACGCAGUAGUAAUGCGGUUGCCGAGAGUCUCCAGUACUGACACCAACUUCCGGCAUACUCGACACCACCUUUUUCGACACCACCGGAUCUCAGCUCUCUCGCCUGGACACCGAAGUUCCUGUAUGUAAUUAGUUUUUAUUUCUCAAUAUGUACAAGGCGAGCUUCGCUCAACAAAUAUAAUCAAAUGAAGAAUUUGUCCCAAUUAACGUGGGAAGGGACUGUGCACAAGACACUCAUAGCACACAAGACACUCCUGUAUGUUAUAACAUUAGUGUGCAACACAGAACGAUACCUGUACGACAGAGAUUAUGGAUCCGCGCUUGUACAUACACGAAAACUUUCGCUUUCAACCAAUGCAUAUUUCAGCCAAUGUAUAUUUGCAAGUAGCUAGGCUACAAAAGUGUUUCGCAAUGUGCGAAAGCGAAAGCUUUCGUGCAUGUAUACGAAGCAACUACCUUGUAGCGAGUUAUUUCCUUGUACAUUGUGACGGGUCACGAUGAACAUAAAAGGAAAGUUCUCACAGGUUUCCAGCAAUAAAGAGGUAUUUAACCGGCAGGGCUUCUUGCUUGCUGACACAAAGCCGCAUUGUUAUGACGCUAAUUGUCAGACUGAUAACUGUUAUUCGCGGUCUUCCAUCAAAACAAUUUCACAACUGUCCGCGAGUGGCGUGUUUGUGCACAGGC